rnacentral:rRNA from 1 species
GACGUAGGAGCCAAGCGUUAUCCGAAUUCACUGGGCGUAAGGCGUGUGCAGGCGGUCGGAUAAGUUGGAUGUGAAAUCUCCUGGCUCAACUGGGAGAGGCCGUUCAAUACUGUCAGACUAGAGGACAACAGAGGGAAGUGGAAUUCCGGGUGUAGUGGUGAAAUGCGUAGAUAUCCGGAGGAACACCAGUGGCGAAAGCGGCUUCCUGGGUUGUACCUGACGCUCAGACACGAAAGCUAGGGUAGCGAACGGG